GACGAACGCUGGCGGCGUGCUUAACACAUGCAAGUCGAGCGAUGAAAUUCCUUCGGGAAUGGAUUAGCGGCGGACGGGUGAGUAACACGUGGGUAACCUGCCUCAUAGAGGGGAAUAACCUUCCGAAAGGAAGAUUAAUACCGCAUAAGAUUGUAGUGCCGCAUGGCAUAGCAAUUAAAGGAGCAAUCCGCUAUGAGAUGGACCCGCGUCGCAUUAGCUAGUUGGUGAGGUAACGGCUCACCAAGGCGACGAUGCGUAGCCGACCUGAGAGGGUGAUCGGCCACAUUGGGACUGAGACACGGCCCAGACUCCUACGGGAGGCAGCAGUGGGGAAUAUUGCACAAUGGGGGAAACCCUGAUGCAGCAACGCCGCGUGAGUGAUGAAGGUCUUCGGAUUGUAAAACUCUGUCUUCAGGGACGAUAAUGACGGUACCUGAGGAGGAAGCCACGGCUAACUACGUGCCAGCCGCCGCAGUAAGAC
rnacentral:rRNA from 1 species